CAGGGAGACAACAAAAUGUUUUAUAUUAUUAUUUUGUCACCUUAGGUCGAUCGGUAUCUCACGUUCUUACUUAAUUAAGAAUUUUAUUUCCUAAGUUUUUCUAGGUCACACCCAUUAUUUUUCCUGGGCCAUUAGCUCAGGUGGUUAGAGCGCACCCCUGAUAAGGGUGAGGUCCCUGGUUCAAGUCCAGGAUGGCCCAUAUCUCUAUGUUGGGGGUAUAGCUCAGUUGGUAGAGCGCCUGCUUUGCAAGCAGGAUGUCAGCGGUUCGAGUCCGCUUACCUCCACUGAUUACCACCUCUUCCAUAAUCUAUAGAAGGGAAAUAUUUUGAGUUGUGAUCAAAUACUGAACGAAUCUAGCUUCCUAAUGAAACCAUUAAGAUGCUGGACUCAUUGAAUUAAUUUCAUUGUUUUCAGAGAACCUUGACAACUGCAUAGAUUAUUUUUAAAGACAAUAAGCAUCUUUAAUGAUGCAGAUUUAUUAUUUGUGCGAAUGCAUUAAUAACAAUUCUAUUAAGCUGAUGCUUCAAUUUUGAAGUUAUU
rnacentral:tRNA from 1 species